UCGGGGUUCGGCAAGAGCAGUUCUGUGAGCUGGCGGAGCCUGGCGUCUGCCUGCGUGACGUGGAGGAACCGCAGGCGGCGACCGCGGACAGAAUGUACAGCCAUGUAAGACAUGCCUGUGCCUGCUUCCCCUUUGCCUUCUGCCAUGACUGAAAGUUUCCUAAGGCCUCCUCAGAAGCCGAGCAGAUGCCAGCAUCAUGCUUCCUCUAAAGCCUGUGGAACCAUGAGCCAAGAUUUUUCAUGGGCCGAUCUGCUGAAUUCAGCCUAGGAGCUGAGACCAACAUCUGAGUCUCUUCAGCACACAAGUUUGAAAGAAGUCCUAGCAACUUCAAGCUCAGAACUACGGGUGGCAGCAGCUCCCUCUUGACGUCGAAGCCUCCCAUUCCAGAGAGAGUCAAGGCCUGGAUCAAACAAAGCCCACAAGCACCGAUGACUGAGCUGCUGACUACCCCCAGCAUCUCCAACUCAACCUCCUCUUUCUGCCUCUACCCAAAUUUUAAAACUUUCAAACAUGGGUUUAAAAAUGGUAAUGAGUAAAGUUGCAUCCAAGUGUAUCAAAUAAAACUAAAUAUCCAUAAAUGCUGUAAUAAUUCCUGCUUUGAUGCUGAACUAAAGAAUUUUCUGCCAGGCGUGGUGGCUAACACCUGUAAUCCCAGCACUUUGGGAGGCCAAGGCAGGUGGAUCACGAGGUCAGGAGUUCAAGACCUGCCUGGCCAACGUGGUGAAACCCCAUCUCUACUAAAAAUACAAAAAUUAGCUGGGCAUGGUGGCAGGCAUCUGUAGUCCCAGCUACUCAGGAGGCUGAGGCAGGAGAAUCACUUGAACCCGGGAGACAGAGGUUGUAGUGAGCCAAGAUGGCACCACUGCACUCCAUCCUGGGCAACAAGCGAGAUUCCAUCUCAAAAGAAAAAAAAAAAAGAAUUUUCUGUUUAUAUUACAUAUAGUCUCACUUCAUAUUUCAUUUCUCUCACCUCUGAUACCUGGAGUCCUUUGCUAGUACUGAAAUUGAGUAAAGUCAUUCUCAUGAGUUUUAGUAAACUCAAAACUCAAAACUCAUGAAGUUGGCAAAACUCAAAGAAUGCUUUGGUCUAGUUUGACAUUGGCCAGUAUGUUUUUCAUAUCCAGUCAUUCCUUUUUUCCUGGCUGACAUCCUCACUUCCUGCCUGUGGAGGAAAAGUUAAAUAUUAAAUUUGAACUCAAUUGAAUGUGGACACAAACAAUGGUCACCAAGUCCGGGAACAGGUUGUGUGAGUCCCUUGAGGCAUUUAUCCUGCCCUGUUUCGGAGAAAUCUCUAUUUCAAACUAUUCCUAUGUGUUACUUACUGAAAAACAACAGACAAUCGCAAAAACAAGUUGACCUUUUUGUGUUCCUUGAGCCCAGUCACAAAGGGCCCUCAUGACUGGGCCUCAUGCCAAACAACUUGUUACAAAAAGAGCUAGGGUCCCAGACCGCACCAAAGACCCAUGAGACCUCUCCUCGUCUGUGCACAGACUGGUGGCCGACUCUGGAGCCCAGGCUGUUGCUUCCUGGUCUGGUGAUGAAUCCUCCAUAGUCUGGAAAGGGGUCUCCAGUCACCUCUCAUGAGGAGACGCGUCCCACUGCCUCAUUGAGGUGGCCUCAGGGUGAAGAAUCAGGACCCACCUGGUGCAACGAAUAAACCCAGACUCUCAGCAUCGCGAGGAGAAAAAGUCUUGCAACACCGUGGCGACCAAGUAACUCUGUGCACAUACUAAGCUGACGGCGAUGCUGCUGUGUGAGGAUGCCCUUUGAGAAUCCCUGCUACAAAGCCCCUGCCAGUGGAGUGGCAUUGCUGUGUGGUGGCCUUGCACUGCGGAUUGCCCACCGGAGGGAUGCUGUGUGAGCACUGGCUGUGUCACCCUGCCACUGUGUCUCUGCUUCCCUGGAAACAUGCGUUUCUCCACUUUCAGGCAGAAGCACCAACUGCUCCUGUGAAUUAAUAUGCUCAUUUAAUGCUCAUUACAUUUAAAUUUUGUCAUUGAAAGGGCUCAUUUUCCCAUACUGGACCGUGGCCCUCUCCCUGCUCACUUCUUUAGAAUAAAGAAGAGCAUGAGGCUGGUGAAGGGGACUGAUGCAUUAUUGCACUGGCUCUGUCUGUGGUGACAGGCUCACAAAAAUACUGUCACCAUGGUAUUUCUCAGCAUUUGCUACAUAGGAGGUUUUUCAUACUUCAGGAAACAUAUUUACCAUUUUAAAACCAAAGACAUCAGGGUCCCAUCAACAUCUGUGAUUUAGCUGUUACUAAACAUUGUAAAUCUAUCAGUGUCUUGUUCCUUGGAAGUAGAACACCUACCACUGGACUCCCUUUACUCUAAUUAACCAAAGGCACCCCACAUGAGUGGUUAAUAACUGGUUG
rnacentral:lncRNA from 1 species